CAAAAGCUCAUAUAUUAACUACACAAAUUCCUUUACAUUUACAAAUAGCCGAAAUACAUUAAAUUUUCUACACCCACUGGUCCAGCCUAUUCUUGGAUGACAUCUUCUUGGCAUACUUAAGUUACAUCGGCUGCAUCUAAAAAAACAGAGGAGACAAGGGUGAGUACGAUAAAUCAUACUCAGGAAGCAGAUACUUCACUGUUCAACAAAAGCAAUGGUAUAAUGAUGUAGAUCAACAGACGAACUGAAUCCAUAGGAUAAACAAGGUAACAAUCAUUGGAACAUAUUUUACUGGAGAUGUGUAAAAUGAAUAGCAUAAUCGAAGACCAACAAGGAAGUUAUUGGCAUCACACGUGACCGCAAGCUUUCCAAUCCAGGAGUCAUAGGGUUGAAAUUUCACACUUUUACGCUCUUAAAAGGGGUACUCCGACAUCGACAGCCUCGACCAGAACCACACAGGUUCCAGAAGAGCAGAGCUCUUGUACCUACUAAGACCUGGACACCUAGACCUACUGAUGUCGGUCGCUCCUACAGAUCCAUCACCGACAUGUUCCCGAACAAGGUCUGUCCUUAGCGGAGAGCCCAAGCAGUCCCAUACCGGAACUGUGACCGGUACAAUACGUUUGCCGUCAUGACACCAAUACAGAUGGAGAGAGUAUGAUAUGUGACUGAAUCAACGACAAGAUUACUGAAAUGUCAGUCAAGACAAUACACUCAUAACUUUUCAGGAGUUCCUCCAAACUACCCUGAUUCCAUCAACAUAUGGAUUAUGGGGACAACACAUCCCUCUCUCAAGGAUCAAUAAAGAUCAAGGUGCGACAAUAAAAUCAGAUAAUCAAGGAAGACAACAAUAAGGAAUAAUCAGAGAGUUUAGCAAAGCAACUACUUGCCUCGAUACUAAGAAUUAUUCUUCAUUACAUCAGAUAUAUAUUCCUCGAUCGACCACUGUUAUGUAAACGCCGCAGCGUAGUACACGUGUAUUUUACAUACUCGGCUUGACCAUCUUCUGUGUCGGUUGACCAACUAUAUCUGUAUACUUUCUUCUAUGUAUGUAUGCUCAUUAGCACCUUCCCCUCACUCUCCUUCUACGAGUAUAUUCAUCAGUGUCUCUCCCCUAGUCUGCUCUCCUUUGGCUUUCUCUUCUUUCUCUUGGAGUUGUGGGGUGCAAGCAGUGGCGGAGCCAGGAUUGGAGCGAGCUCAGGGCCCAAAUUUCUUUUCGUCGCGACUCAAAAACUUAAGAUCCAUCGGGCUAUAGCUACCUCAAAAGAAUACCUCAAAUAUGGCUCAAUUGAAUCGAAAAGUUAGAAUUAAACUCAAUGCUUUAAGACACACCAAAAUAGAUAAAAGCAUGACAAAAACUAUGAACAAUGUGUGAUAAAAAAAUGAGUACCAAAUCAAUGAUUUGCUUCAUUGCUAUCUUCCAUAGCCUGAUCAAUGGUGGAAGAAGGGCCAACACCUUCAAGAAAUCAAAAGCAAUAUUUCAUAAGAGAAGACAUAAACAUCAAGUGAAAUAAUUAACAUUGAUACAAAGCUGAAAACUUACUACUACGACGAGGUAAAGUCCCUUUGCGAGAUCUAUAGGAUCAAAAAAAUAUCUUCACCUUUUAUUUCUACAAAAUGAAAUGAAAUUGAUAUCAACAGCAGCAUCAACAACACUCACAUUCAAAUACAAUUCAAAUGAAAUUGAUUUUUUGACAAGCAGCAACCAUAAGCAGUACUCGGCAGUAGCAAAUCCACGCAUUAUAGCUAAUUAGCACCGCACAUCCACUGAUCCACGAUUCACCGAUCAACAUAUGACCUACUUAGCACAAAAAAAUAUUCUAUCUAUAAAGGGGAUCAGGAGAAGCCAGAGCAAUUGUGCCAAGCUUGUGCAAAUGUGCAGAGCCAUUAGUAAUCCUGCGCGGCACACGACAUGGCGGAGACCAGGAGAGGCCGGAGCAGAGCCGGCGUGCAGAGCAGAGCAGGUGAGCGGUGGACCAGUAGGAAAUCAGGGCAGUGGCGGAUGGGUGGACCAGACGAGUGGUGGACCAGGGCACCAGGCGAGCGGCGGAGCAGGCAAGCGGCCGAGCGGCGGAGGGACCUGGGACGGCCGGGGAGGGCCGGAGCAGAACUGGCAUGCAGAGCAGAGCAGGCGAGCGGCGGACCAGUAGGAAAUCAGGGCAG
rnacentral:lncRNA from 1 species